UUCGGGUUGGCUGAAAAGACUUCUCCCCACAGUGAUGAGCGGGCUGAUAGGAAUAUGAGAAUCAUCUACAUUGUAUCCCACACUGAACUCAAGGGAACUUUCAAGAACAUGCACAGGGGCUAAAGCAGGAGAGACUAGUGGAAGGUAAACCCAGCCCAAUUGAACGAGUUUUAUAAUGCUGAUUUUUGAAGAUUACAACAGUGAGGCUUGGAGAAGUGAAGUAAUUAGCCCAGAAGUCCAUGCUGUUGCUACUAAAACAAGC